rnacentral:lncRNA from 1 species
GGCACUAGAGUGUACUAUGGUAUUUAUACGCACGCAGAUAAUCCGCAAGCGCACGGAUACCGUUGAAGCUUUUUACCUGGUUAAAGGUUUUAACAUAUCCACAGGGAAAUAGGAGAACUGAUCUACGCUCUAACUUAACCAAGAUAAGUAAAUAGGUGUAAAUAUGAAAGAUGGUAGAAUCGAAUAAGAACAAUGUUAAAGGUAAGAUAACUGUGAGUGAUAAUAUGGGAAUAGAG